CACAUCUCAGUCUGCUUUUCCUCCUCUUCAUUUCUCCACGAGGAAGUUUAGUUUUCCUCAAUCAUUUCAAGCUGUGUGCUUAGGAAGUCAGGAAGGACACCCAGGACAUUCAACAUCUCUGAGGAUGCCGUGAGCAGGAAGUGGAUGUGGCAGGAAAACAGAUUUAUGGUCAGCGAGACAAACCCUGAUCAUUAAUGCCACAAAGUAACAGCAGAAGCCAACGUGUUCUGAAGGAUUGAAUUGCUUCAGUGGCAAAGAGGAGAGACACCCCCCCAAAAUUCAGCCUGGUUGGGGAAAACAGAAGAUGCUGAUUAGAGCUGCUCCAG